rnacentral:rRNA from 1 species
CGGCGGGCUUAACACAUGCAAGUCGAGCGAGAAAGGGGCUUCGGCCCUGAGUAAAGCGGCGGACGGGUGAGUAACACGUAGGUAAUCUUCCCUUGAGCGGGGGACAACAGGCCGAAAGGCCUGCUAAUACCGCAUAAGUUUUCAGAGACCCCGGUCUUUGAAAGGAAAGCUAGGCCGCAAGGUCCGGCACUCGAGGAGGAGCCUGCGUCGCAUCAGCUAGUUGGUGGGGUAACGGCCUACCAAGGCGAAGACGCGUAGCUGGUCUGAGAGGAUGAUCAGCCACACUGGGACUGAGACACGGCCCAGACUCCUACGGGAGGCAGCAGUGGGGAAUAUUGGACAAUGGGCGCAAGCCUGAUCCAGCCACGCCGCGUGAGUGAUGAAGGCCUUCGGGUCGUAAAGCUCUGUGGGGAGGGACGAACCGCCGGAUGUUCAUAGCAUCCGGCAUGACGGUACCUCCUUAGCAAGCACCGG